CCUACGGGUGGCAGCAGUGGGGAAUAUUGGGCAAUGGGCGCAAGCCUGACCCAGCAACGCCGCGUGAAGGAAGAAGGCUUUCGGGUUGUUAACUUCUUUUAUCAGGGACGCAGCAAGUGACGGUACUUGAUGAAUAAGCCACGGCUAACUAAGUGCCAGCAGCCGCGGUAAUACGUAGGUGGCAAGCGUUAUCCGGAUUUACUGGGUGUAAAGGGCGUGUAGGCGGGAAAGCAAGUCAGAUGUGAAAACCAUGGGCUUAACCUGUGGCCUGCAGUUGCAACUGGUUUUCUUGAGUACGGGAGAGGCAGACGGAAUGCCUGGUGUAGCGGUGAAAUGCAUAGAUAUUAGGAAGAACACCGAUGGCGAAGGCAGCUUACUGGACAGUAACUGACGUUGAGGCUCGAAAGCGUGGGGAGCGAACAGGAUUAGAUACCCCGGUAGUC
rnacentral:rRNA from 1 species